rnacentral:rRNA from 1 species
UACGUAGGGUGCAAGCGUUGUCCGGAAUUAUUGGGCGUAAAGAGCUCGUAGGCGGCUCGGUAAGUCGGGUGUGAAACCCCCAGGCUCAACCUGGGGACGCCACCCGAUACUGCUGUGGCUAGAGUCCAGUAGGGGAGUGUGGAAUUCCCGGUGUAGCGGUGAAAUGCGCAGAUAUCGGGAGGAACACCAGCGGCGAAGGCGGCACUCUGGGCUGGAACUGACGCUGAGGAGCGAAAGCGUGGGUAGCAAACAGG